rnacentral:tRNA from 1 species
GCCAGUGUGGCUCAGUUGGUUGAGCACUGUCCCAUGCAAUGAGAGGUCACUGGUUCAAUUCCCUGUCACAGGUU